rnacentral:rRNA from 1 species
GAUGAACGCUGGCGGCGUGCCUAAUACAUGCAAGUCGAGCGAACAGACGAGGAGCUUGCUCCUCUGACGUUAGCGGCGGACGGGUGAGUAACACGUGGAUAACCUACCUAUAAGACUGGGAUAACUUCGGGAAACCGGAGCUAAUACCGGAUAAUAUAUUGAACCGCAUGGUUCAAUAGUGAAUGACGGUUUUGCUGUCACUUAUAGAUGUAUCCGCGCCGCAUUAGCUAGUUGGUAAGGUAACGGCUUACCAAGGCAACGAUGCGUAGCCGACCUGAGAGGGUGAUCGGCCACACUGGAACUGAGACACGGUCCAGACUACUACGGGAGGCAGCAGUAGGGAAUAUUCCGCAAUGGGCGAAAGCAUGACGGAGCAACGCCGCGUGAGUGAUGAAGGUCUUCGGAUCGUAAAACUCUGUUAUUAGGGAAGAACAAAUGUGUAAGUAACUAUGCACGUCUUGACGGUAACUAAUCAGAAAGCAACGGCUAACUACGUG